rnacentral:lncRNA from 1 species
UCGGCACUAUAAUAUGUUAUCCGAUUCAUACGUGUUCAUUUUACGGAUAUAUAAAUUAUUUUCUGGCUAUUACUUUUAUAAUCUGGAUUAUCACUGAAUUAUUCAGUUUAUUUUUCAAAUGAUCCGGUUAUUUUUCACAGAGUAAAAUUAUCCGGUUUAUUUUUUCAUAUGAUUCGAUUAAGUAUUCCCGCUAAUUUGUUCCAUAAAUGAAUAUUUGGUUUAACAUAUCUGGAUUCACAUAUAUAUAUAUAUAUAUAUAUUCGGCUAUAUUCAUAUGUAAACGAGGUCCAGCGGUUCUGGUUUGUACUUCGUGUGAUACAAUAACAUGUUGCGGGACCGAACUUACUAUACGUCAUUUUCUUGUUUUUUUUUGUUUUUUUCUUUAAUGGAAGCAGAAUUACUAGAAAGUCCUCAUCUUCUUCCUCGCAUCUGUCGAACAAGAAACCCUAAUUUCCGUAUUUCACCUCUGUUUUUCUACGAUUCUUGAUCCUUUUCAAUGAUUCUUAACCCAAAUAUGAUAGAUUUCAACAAAACAAGUGAUUCUGAGCAUACAAUUUCGAAAAAUAAGUUUUUUUUGUAAAGGAUCAGAUUUUCUGAGCGAAUUGGAAAAAAUCGCACAAGCUUCUUCAUUGAGUAGCGUCUAAACGUCAAUUUAACAAGCACGGCAGAUGCAUUUUAUCAUAAGGAUUCAAAAGUGAUGUAAUCCACACUCGUUUUUCAAUGGCUUUUGAAUAUAUCCUCCAUAUUUUACCAAUUUAAUAUGGUUAUCCAAAACCUCUCCUCUGCAUAAUAGUGCAUAUUUCGUAAUAUACUAAUGUCCUUUACACGCGCCACAUUAGAGCCACAUAUUCAAAUUCCAAAUUUUCUGACACUUCUCUGACAUAAUAGCUGUCGAACUGAUUCCCCUAUACCUCUAGGGAACCAGGUUUUGAGAA